rnacentral:rRNA from 1 species
UACGGGGGAUGCAAGCGUUAUCCGGAUUUAUUGGGUUUAAAGGGUGCGUAGGCGGGCUUUUAAGUCAGCGGUAAAAAUUCGGGGCUCAACCCCGUCCGGCCGUUGAAACUGGGGGUCUUGAGUGGGCGAGAAGAAGGCGGAAUGCGUGGUGUAGCGGUGAAAUGCAUAGAUAUCACGCAGAACCCCGAUUGCGAAGGCAGCCUUCCGGCGCCCUACUGACGCUGAGGCACGAAAGUGCGGGGAUCGAACAGG